GUGACCCUUCUAACAAUCUGUCAGAAGGAGAAUCCUCUCCUUCUGGACCACAGUUGACUGUGAACAACUCAAACUGCAGAAAGCUAAACUGCAGGCAAUGUACGGCACAUGUCCAAUGCCAACUGUUACAGAUGUACACAGUAUUUUGUUAAACAAGACUGAGUAUACAGUUGAAUAAACAAUGGGAAAGGCAGUCAAAAGAAAUUAUAUACAACAACUGUAUUUGAUUCAACUAAAAAUCAGAAGCUAUAUCCUCAAACUAUAAAUGGCUUGCGACCAGAAACCACUGUAUUUUGUAACUCUAACAUCACCACACUGUGGCUGACACACAGAAGAUGUUCCAUAAAGGAAACCAAAAGAUUCAUCUGAUUUGCUUUACUGUGGUCAUCUGGAACCAAACCUGCCAUAUCUCUAAGGAUCAUUCAAUCGAGAUGAGCUCCAAAUAAAUACUGUGUCUCCUCUUUGAACAUAAUGGAUCUGGUAUCUGGUGGUAAAGCAACAAUCUUGCACCCAUGAGUACAGACCAAACAUUAAGGAUGGAGAAGUUGGAAACCAAAAGAGAUUGAGUUCUUAAACUUUUUUUUUUUUUGAGUAGAGCUAUUAACUAUUUAUGGAUUCCAUGUUAUACAAGAAAAAGCCUCUGUUUAAGCCACUGAAGUCAGUCUUCUAUUACAUGCAGCUGAACACAACACAAACUGAGAUAUAAUGCUAUGGAUCUACAUCUCUGGUGCUUUUUGGUCUUUGAUCUGUGAUUACAGCAGAAAUAGUCGUGACAGAAUUUUCAUUAACUUGGAUCUGUCUUUUUUCCUUAUUCCAUGGUAUGUCUGAUAGGGACCAGCCAGCAGACAGAACCAUUUUAGUAAUUUGAACAAAGAAAACUUAAUGUAAAGAUUGUUAACCAAUAAAAGGUAUCUACUAAGAAGGAUAGAGUAGAUUCUAACAACUGUCAGAAUAGCUACUACCCUUGGCUGAGGAAGAGUGAACAAAAAGGAAGAAUUUAGAAAUUUAGAGGAGAGGAUAUGGCUGUCACAGGCACAUAGAGUCCACUUGUGGUGAAGGAACUUGCUGGAGACACCAGUCACAAGUGAACCAGGAAGACUGCUGAAGUGAACAUAACCAGACCUCUCUUGCAAACCAACCCAUGGGCUCCGACCAGAAGAAAGAAAAGUCAUUUCCUCCAGCUCUGCCCCUACAGGAUCUUUCCAUUGCCCUCUCUUGGGAAAGCCUAACAUUUUGCCAGUUAUCAAAGCAGCAAUGCCUGCAGGGUCCAGCUCUAGAUAAGGAAGUAAAGCAAAGAAGGAUGCAUUUGUAGCUGAGAAGUCAUAAGUUAAUAACUGGCACAGAUGACAUGACCUAAUAUGAGAAGAGCUGACCAGAAAAUCUUCAGCAUGCACAUCAAAAUGUACCCACUUGGGGGCACCCACAAUGCAGCUUUUCUGCCUGUUUUCCUGCCCAGAAGCUUCAAGCCCUGCAGAGCUGGAGUGGAGCCAGCUGAUGAAUUUAGUCUGCUUUCCAGGACCCAGCCAGCCAGAUCUGAUGUCUCAAGAAAUAGCCUUCUGUAUCUCCAACUUUGCAGAAUAUCUCACUUAGCAUGUUGCCCACACAAUAAACUAUUAUGUGCUAUUUAAAACAUUAA